rnacentral:rRNA from 1 species
UGGAAAGAUGAAUCAAAGAAGGUAAUAAUCCUGUAGUCGAAAAUGUUGUCUCUCUUGAGUGGAUCCUGAGUACGACGGAGCACGUGAAAUUCCGUCGGAAUCUGGGAGGACCAUCUCCUAAGGCUAAAUACUCUCUAGUGACCGAUAGUGAACCAGUACCGUGAGGGAAAGGUGAAAAGCACCCCGGAAGGGGAGUGAAAUAGAACCUGAAACCGUGUGCUUACAAGUAGUCAGAGCCCGUUAAUGGGUGAUGGCGUGCCUUUUGUAGAAUGAACCGGCGAGUUACGAUUUGAUGCAAGGUUAAGCAGUAAAUGUGGAGCCGUAGCGAAAGCGAGUCUGAAUAGGGCGUUUAGUAUUUGGUCGUAGACCCGAAACCAGGUGAUCUACCCUUGGUCAGGUUGAAGUUCAGGUAACACUGAAUGGAGGACCGAACCGACUUACGUUGAAAAGUGAGCGGAUGAACUGAGGGUAGCGGAGAAAUUCCAAUCGAACCUGGAGAUAGCUGGUUCUCUCCGAAAUAGCUUUAGGGCUAGCCUCAAGUGAUGAUUAUUGGAGGUAGAGCACUGUUUGGACGAGGGGCCCCUCUCGGGUUACCGAAUUCAGACAAACUCCGAAUGCCAAUUAAUUUAACUUGGGAGUCAGAACAUGGGUGAUAAGGUCCGUGUUCGAAAGGGAAACAGCCCAGACCACCAGCUAAGGUCCCAAAAUAUAUGUUAAGUGGAAAAGGAUGUGGCGUUGCCCAGACAACUAGGAUGUUGGCUUAGAAGCAGCCAUCAUUUAAAGAGUGCGUAAUAGCUCACUAGUCGAGUGACACUGCGCCGAAAAUGUACCGGGGCUAAACAUAUUACCGAAGCUGUGGAUUGUCCUUUGGACAAUGGUAGGAGAGCGUUCUAAGGGCGUUGAAGCAUGAUCGUAAGGACAUGUGGAGCGCUUAGAAGUGAGAAUGCCGGUGUGAGUAGCGAAAGACGGGUGAGAAUCCCGUCCACCGAUUGACUAAGGUUUCCAGAGGAAGGCUCGUCCGCUCUGGGUUAGUCGGGUCCUAAGCUGAGGCCGACAGGCGUAGGCGAUGGAUAACAGGUUGAUAUUCCUGUACCACCUAUAAUCGUUUUAAUCGAUGGGGGGACGCAGUAGGAUAGGCGAAGCGUGCGAUUGGAUUGCACGUCUAAGCAGUAAGGCUGAGUAUUAGGCAAAUCCGGUACUCAUUAAGGCUGAGCUGUGAUGGGGAGAAGACAUUGUGUCUUCGAGUCGUUGAUUUCACACUGCCGAGAAAAGCCUCUAGAUAGAAAAUAGGUGCCCGUACCGCAAACCGACACAGGUAGUCAAGAUGAGAAUUCUAAGGUGAGCGAGCGAACUCUCGUUAAGGAACUCGGCAAAAUGACCCCGUAACUUCGGGAGAAGGGGUGCUCUUUAGGGUUAACGCCCAGAAGAGCCGCAGUGAAUAGGCCCAAGCGACUGUUUAUCAAAAACACAGGUCUCUGCUAAACCGUAAGGUGAUGUAUAGGGGCUGACGCCUGCCCGGUGCUGGAAGGUUAAGAGGAGUGGUUAGCUUCUGCGAAGCUACGAAUCGAAGCCCCAGUAAACGGCGGCCGUAACUAUAACGGUCCUAAGGUAGCGAAAUUCCUUGUCGGGUAAGUUCCGACCCGCACGAAAGGCGUAACGAUUUGGGCACUGUCUCAACGAGAGACUCGGUGAAAUCAUAGUACCUGUGAAGAUGCAGGUUACCCGCGACAGGACGGAAAGACCCCGUGGAGCUUUACUGUAGCCUGAUAUUGAAAUUCGGCACAGCUUGUACAGGAUAGGUAGGAGCCUUUGAAACGUGAGCGCUAGCUUACGUGGAGGCGCUGGUGGGAUACUACCCUAGCUGUGUUGGCUUUCUAACCCGCACCACUUAUCGUGGUGGGAGACAGUGUCAGGCGGGCAGUUUGACUGGGGCGGUCGCCUCCUAAAAGGUAACGGAGGCGCUCAAAGGUUCCCUCAGAAUGGUUGGAAAUCAUUCAUAGAGUGUAAAGGCAUAAGGGAGCUUGACUGCGAGACCUACAAGUCGAGCAGGGUCGAAAGAC